NNNNNNNNNNNNNNNCUUCCAGUGCGGUGCCGCCCUUUCCGCCGUUCGCGCCCGGGCUGCUGCGGUGACGUCAUCUCGGACUCAGCGAAUGGGACUUCACUUCAGAGUUAUUAUAAUUCAGUUCAUAAUAAUGAAGUUCCAGGUAUAUUCAACCCAUCAAGAAAGCAUUGCCUGAUUGGAUUUCAAAGGAUUCUACACCUCAGCGACUCCUUAAACUUGCUUUCUGAGGACUCUGAUGGUCAAGCCCAUGACCAGGAAGCAUUGGUGAUUGAAAAGCCUUCGUCACUCUUCCCAGCUCUCCCCCACCUCUCCUCGGACCGCUCCUUUCUCAGGCAUUGCUAGUUUCAUCCUUGAGCAGGAAAGCAGAACUGUAUCAGAUAUGAACCUGAAGGACAAAAGCAGGUCUGAAGACACCAAGCAAUAGCCUACGUUACAGGUUUAACACACUCCUUUAAUUUCAUGGGAAAAAAAUAAUGAAACUGGGGAAAAGUAUUUAUGGAACUGGAGGAGAGCACAUUUUGCUGGUUUUACUUUAUGUUUGAAGUUUUGGGUAUAGCUCUGCUCAUAAAUACUGAAAUGCCUAGCAUAAAGAACACAGCCUGGGGCAUACCCCAUAAAACUUACAGUGCAAUUAAAUGAGCAAUUUCCACUGGAAAUAAAAUGGGCAUGUUGAAUGGAAUAUGAAUUAAACUAUGCGUAAGACUCAGGCUUGCACUAGGAACCUGCUGGGUUCAGUAGCAACUGAUGCAGUCCAUCUAUAGGUCAAGGCCAGUAAGUAACAAAAGAAAACGGCAGUUAGCA
rnacentral:lncRNA from 1 species